CUGAGUGUCACUGUGUGUGUCUCUCUGUGUGUCACUGUCUGUGUCUCUGUAUGUCACUGUCUGUGUGUCACUGUCUGUGUGUCUCUGUGUGUCUCUCUGUGUGUCUCUCUGUGUGUCACUGUCUGUGUGUCUCUCUGUCUGUGUGUCACUGUCUGUGUCACUGUCUGUGUGUCUCUCUGUAUGUCACUGUCUGUGUGUCACUGUCUGUGUGUCACUCUGUGUGUCUCUCUGUGUGUCACUGUCUGUGUGU